AAUAAAUGAUGCAGACAGUACUAGAU
rnacentral:misc_RNA from 1 species